GCGCUGGAACCGCGGGACCUCUGCUCCGGCACGGGCGGCCCGGGCUCACGGCUGCGGAGGAGCGUCCCGUAGGCGUGCAAAUGAAACGCUUGACUCGAAUCAACGCGGUGCCGCAAAAACCCUGCCUUCGUCACGGGAAGGAAAAGCAAACGCAACCUGCUUCCGCUGCCUUCCUCUGCGUCUCAGCCAAACUGACGAACCCACGUUCACACCGACACGCUUUCAGUCCCCGUUGCCUACAGGGGUUCUGUGCUGUCCUUUACAGCCCAAAUCUUCGCUGCAGCCACGGGAAAGGUGACCAAGAGCCCGCUGGUGCCCCGUUACGUCCAUCUCCUGGAGGAGACACGGAUAGCAGCACCUGCUCUGCGCUGCGUGCCGUGCGUUCCAACGGAGCACAUCGGCACGGCAAGUUCGGAACGCGAGCGCGGCCCCUGCCCCGCGGGAGCAGCAGGGAUCCAACCAGGCUGCUGGGAAUGGAGAAGUUAACCCACACUGUGGGUAAAAACUGCUGUGGAAAACCCCCUUCUGUUAUUCGGUACCCUGUUCUCUACCUGCCUUUAACACAUCACUAUUUGCAAUGAAUGUUUAUGUAACAGCGCUAUUGCUUUUUUUUUUUUUUCCCUCUUGGUAAAAAUGUAUGACUAAGAAAUCAGCCUCUAAAUAACUGCUUUCAGGCUCUUUAUUUGCCCAGAGCUGGUUUAUGGAGUAAUACUUCUUUGUCAGUAUCAUUAUACAAUUUUUCAGCAGCAACGCAGCAGGCAAUGCAUGGCCAGAGAGGCACUUAAGGAGGAGGGACUGAGCCAUUCAGACAACUGAGAACAGCUACAGCCCCUGGGCAGCUGCCAGUGCUGGAAAACAUCACUUAACACAGGCUACAGAACUAAAGGCAAACAUGAGGAUGGGGGAAACAAGGAUUGGGUCUCACAUCUGUACCAAACAGACCUUGCUGAGGAAAGCUCUGCAGCCAGCGGUGGCAAGCUAAAAGUACAAAGAAACAGCAGUGAUAUUCAAAUUUAACAGCAGAAGAAAUACUCCCUUUCUGCACUGGUGCCUCGGGGCUCUCUCUGAUUUAUUUACACAGAUCAAAAGAAACUCAAUUUAAAAUGACAGAGCAAAGAACCAAGCAGAAACUGCAUAAAGCUAAGUGCCAGAAUUCCAUUGUAAUGAAAUGCCUCUGAUCUUAAAAUAGCUGAUAUGGGCAACUGUUUCAUCACAAUCAAGAUUUAAGGCUAUAUGCAAAUUCUGCAGGUAAAAAAAAUCCCCUAUUCAUCACCAGGCUUGUUCAAAAACCAGUUGGACUAUUACCUUCCAAUAGCAAGAAAGCUUAACAUUUUCAUUCUUUGUUCAGUGCAUUCUUGUUCAAAUUAUUUCACUCUAUGAAAUAGAACAUAAAACUUCCUGAUGGCUU